rnacentral:rRNA from 1 species
UACGUAGGGUGCAAGCGUUAAUCGGAAUUACUGGGCGUAAAGCGUGCGCAGGCGGAUGUGUAAGUUAGGAGUGAAAUCCCCGGGCUCAACCUGGGAACUGCUCUUAAGACUGCAUAUCUAGAGUUUGUCAGAGGGGGGUGGAAUUUCAAGUGUAGCAGUGAAAUGCGUAGAGAUUUGAAGGAACACCGAUGGCGAAGGCAGCCCCCUGGGAUAAAACUGACGCUCAUGUACGAAAGCGUGGGUAGCAAACAGGAUUAGAUACCCUGGUAGUCCACGCCCUAAACGAUGUCUACUUGCUGUUGGGGGUAACCUUAGUAGCGAAGCUAACGCGAGAAGUAGACCGCCUGGGGAGUACGGUCGCAAGAUUA